rnacentral:rRNA from 1 species
AUUGAACGCUGGCGGCAUGCCUUACACAUGCAAGUCGAACGGCAGCACGGGAGCUUGCUCCUGGUGGCGAGUGGCGAACGGGUGAGUAAUGCAUCGGAACGUGCCCUGAAGUGGGGGAUAACGCAGCGAAAGUUGCGCUAAUACCGCAUAUUCUGUGAGCAGGAAAGCAGGGGAUCGCAAGACCUUGCGCUUUAGGAGCGGCCGAUGUCGGAUUAGCUAGUUGGUGGGGUAAAGGCUCACCAAGGCGACGAUCCGUAGCGGGUCUGAGAGGAUGAUCCGCCACACUGGGACUGAGACACGGCCCAGACUCCUACGGGAGGCAGCAGUGGGGAAUUUUGGACAAUGGGCGCAAGCCUGAUCCAGCCAUGCCGCGUGAGUGAAGAAGGCCUUCGGGUUGUAAAGCUCUUUCGGCGGGGAAGAAAUCGCAUUCUCUAAUACAGGAUGUGGAUGACGGUACCCGAAUAAGAAGCACCGGCUAACUACGUG